UGAAUACCCCAGCGAGCUGGCGAGCACAGUCCCGGAGCACCCUGCCUGGGAUCUCAUCCGGGCCAGCAGCCUUACUAGCAUUAACAGUUCUCAGGGCCCGCUUUACCUCCUCUAACUGGAGGGUAAGUGGCUGGUCAGCAGGGUCCAGUUGGAGAGAGGUAAAGCGACCACUGAGA